AGAGUUUGAUCCUGGCUCAGAAUGAACGUUGGCGGCGCGCCUAACACAUGCAAGUCGAACGAGAAAGGUUCUUCGGAACUAAGUACAGUGGCGAACGGGUGAGUAACACGUGAGAAUCUUCCCUUAAAUGAAGGAUACCUUCGAGAAAUUGAAGUUAAUACUGCAUACGUCCCUUCGGGGAGAAAGACGGCCUCUUUGCUGUCGUUUAAGGAUGAGCUCGCGUCCUAUUAGUUUGUUGGUGAGGUAAAGGCUCACCAAGGCGAAGAUGGGUAGCCGGCCUGAGAGGGUGAUCGGCCACAUUGGGACUGAGAUACGGCCCAAACUCCUACGGGAGGCAGCAGUGGGGAAUAUUGCGCAAUGGGGGAAACCCUGACGCAGCGACGCCGCGUGGAGGAUGACGGUUUUCGGAUUGUAAACUCCUGUUAAGUGGGAAGAAUGACCAUGGUCUAAUACAUCAUGGGGGUGACGGUACCACUAGAGAAAGCACCGGCUAACUUCGUGCCAGCAGCCGCGGUAAUACGAGGGGUGCAAACGUUAUUCGGAGUUACUGGGCGUAAAGAGCGCGUAGGCGGUUUGUUAAGUUGGUUGUUAAAUUCCUUGGCUCAACUGAGGGUAGGCAAUCAAAACUGGCAGACUAGAGGGCAAGAGAGAGAGGUGGAAUUCUCGGAGUAGCGGUAAAAUGCGUAGAUCUCGAGAGGA
rnacentral:rRNA from 1 species